UACAAAGGUAUUGUAAUAAGGUUUUAAUUGAAUGCUAAAAGAAUGGAAUUACAGGGAAAAGUUUUUUUAAAUUUAAUAAUUGAAGUUAUUUUAAUUUGUGAAGAAACAAUUAUAUAAAUUAAAGACAAGAAGACCCUAAGAAUUUAAGAAUUUUUAUUAAUAUAUUAUAUGUAUAUAUAUAUAUAAAUAAAAUUCUUAGUUGGGGCAACUAAAAAAUAUAUUAAACUUUUUUUAAAAAAAAUGAUCCAUUAUUAAUGAUAAUAUGAAAAAAAUACUCUAGGGAUAACAGCGUAAUAAUUUUUGAUAGAUCUUAUAGACAAAAUAGUUUGCGACCUCGAUGUUGGAUUAGGAUACUUUUUUAAUGAAGAUGUUAAAAAAAGAAGUUUGUUCAACUUUUAAAUUCCUACAU
rnacentral:rRNA from 1 species